rnacentral:rRNA from 1 species
UUUUAGUUUGACUCCCCGAAACUAAGCGAGCUACUUCAAAACAGCUUCAAGAGCCAACCCGUCUCUGUGGCAAUAGAGUGGGAAGAUUUUCUAGUAGAAGUGAUAAGCCCAACGAGCUUAGAGAUAGCUGGUUAUUCAGGAAAAGAAUUUUAGUUCUGCCUUAAAUUUUCCCCCUGUCCCCAAACAAAAAGAUUUAAGAGUUACUCAAUUAAGGCACAGCUUACUUGAAACAGGAUUCAACCUAGACAACAGGGUAAAAAAGGUUUAUCAUUAUAUGCAGUGGGCCUAAAAGCAGCCACCUUUUAAAAGCGUCAAAGCUUAACAUAAUAUUACCCCUAAUUCCACUAAUAACCAUGAACCCUUNACCCCUACUGAAUGAUGUUAUAAACUUAUAACAGACACUAUGCUAGGACUAGUAACAAGAAUACGAAAUUCUCCAAAAUGUAAGCAUAAACCAAAACGGACCAUCCAUUGGUAAUUAGCGGAAAUGAGCUCAAUACAGCAACACACCUAGAAAACCCUGUACCUUCCCCCGUCAACCUAACACUAGAACAUUCCUGGAAAGAUUAACAGAAGGAGAAGGAACUCGGCAAAUCUUAACCCCGCCUGUUUACCAAAAACACCGGCUCUUGCCCUCCCNAUAAGAGGUCCAGCCUGCCCAGUGAUAAAAUUCAACGGCCGCGGUAUCCUAACCGUGCGAAGGUAGCAUAAUCACUUGUUCUUUAAAUANGGACUCGUAUCAACGGCAUCACGAGGGUUGCACUGUCUCCUCCCUCCAAUCAGUGAAACUGAUCUCCCCGUGAAGAAGCGGGGGUAUCACUAUAAGACGAGAAGACCCCAUGGAGCUUAAAACUGGACAGCAACUUACUCAUAUUCUCCUCCCCACUCACAAAGACAUGCCCGUCAGUUUUUGGUUGGGGCGACCGCGGAGUAAAAACCAACCUCCACGUCAAAAGAAUACGAUUCUAUCUUAGAGUCACCCCUCAAGAAUUAGCACACUAAUAAACACGACCCGUUCAACGAUCAACGAACCAAGUUACCCUGGGGAUAACAGCGCAAUCUACUUCAAGAGCCCCUAUCGACAAGUAGGCUUACGACCUCGAUGUUGGAUCAGGGUAUCCUAGAGGCGCAGCCG